GACGAACGCUGGCGGCGUGCUUAACACAUGCAAGUCGAACGAAGUGGCGAACGGGUGAGUAACGCGUAAUCAACCUGCCCUUCAGAGGGGAACAACAGUUGGAAACGACUGCUAAUACCGCAUACUGACGGUGGGGAUUGCGUCUGCUUAGCUAGUGGGAGGGGUAACGGCCCACCAAGGCGAGGAUCAGUAGCCGGUCUGAGAGGAUGAACGGCCACAUUGGGACUGAGACACGGCCCAGACUCCUACGGGAGGAAGCAGUGGGGAAUCUUCCGAAAUGGACGAAAGUCUGACGGAGCAACGCCGCGUGAGUGAUGACGGCCUUCGGGUUGUAAAGCUCUGUUAAUCGGGACGCGGUACCGGAAUAGAAAGCCACGGCUAACUACGUGCCAGCAGCCGCGGUAAUUC
rnacentral:rRNA from 1 species